GCACACACAUACGAUGCAUUCUGCAUACCAGUCAUAGGGGAGUCACAGGAUUGAAAUAUUCUUGUCCGGCUUUCUCGGGGCACACAGCUGGGCAGAGGGACCCAAGUUCAAAGACGGAGCCUUCUUCCCUCAGGGGCGGUCCUAACGACCUCAGUCUGGGACAGAAGCGGGCUUUUGAGGCUCUCGGUGAGUUUGAGCCCAGGACUGUGGCCUCCUUGCUCCCUGAGCUAAGUCCUUGGGCCCAGAAAAGAGAAAGAAGGAAGAAGAAGGAAAGGGAGGGGAGGGAAGGGACGCGGGGGCGGAGGGUGCAGCGGAGCGGCCUGCGGAGCCGGCCAGGCUCCGGGUGGGGGCUCGGCCGAAGUCCCCGCGGCUGCUCUGCGGCGGCCGGCUCGGGAGCAACCUUGAGCGCGGCCGCGGAGACAGUGAUUUAGGUGCCGGCACCGGAGCGUGAAGGUAAAUGGCCACAUUUCACCGUCGGGAGGGAAGGCCCCAGGGAGCCGCCUCUUCAUCCACUCACAGGGCACUCCCUCCUCAGCUGGAACCUGGACCCUGGCUCAACCUGAAUUCCUUGGCCUCCACUGGUUUCUCUCUGGAGAUGCAUUUUCAACCUGUGAGUCUCUCUUUUCCCUUCCACCCCCGCACUGUUUCUCUGGGGAAGGACAGUGUGCUUCAGGGAAAUGAGGUGGAGAUUCGUUUCUUGUGUAGCACCUUGCUGUGUGACAUUUGGCAUGUUGCUGUGCCUCUUUGGACAUUGUUCUGGAUAGCAAAAACAUUGGAUUCAUCAGAUCAGGGCCUCUUAAAGCAUGGUCUGUGGACAGGCCACUGUCGUCUUCAGAGCUUGUCAAAAAUACCAAUUCCUGGGCCUCAUCCUUAGAUGAACUGACUUCAAUCUCAGAAGGGG
rnacentral:lncRNA from 10 species